AGUGAACUUCGUUUGCAGCGGAAAUCCUUUUUUUGAGCUUUUUCUGCUCAAAAAAAGAUUGGAGCGGAUAGCCCGGCCCGGA
rnacentral:sRNA from 1 species